CCUACGGUAUGCAGCAGUGAGGAAUAUUGGUCAAUGGGCGCGAGCCUGAACCAGCCAAGUAGCGUGAAGGAUGACUGCCCUACGGGUUGUAAACUUCUUUUAUAAAGGAAUCAAGUGAGGCCCGUGUGCCUUUUUGUAUUUACUUUAUGAUUAAGGAUCGGCUAACUCCGUGCCAGCAGCCGCGGUAAUACGGAGGAUCCGAGCGUUAUCCGGAUUUCUUGGGUUUAAUGGGGGCGUAGAUGGGUUGUUAAGUCAGUUUUGAAAGUUUGCGGCUCAACCGUAAAAUUGCAAUUGAUACUGGCAGCCUUGAGUACAGUUGAGGUAGGCGGAAUUCGUGGUGUAGCGGUGAAAUGCUUAGAUAUCACGAAGAACUCCGAUUGCGAAGGCAGCCUACUAAACUGCCACUGACAUUGAUGCUCGAAAGUGUGGGUAUCAAACAGGAUUAGAUACCCGUGUAGUC
rnacentral:rRNA from 1 species